ACAUGAAGCUGGAAUCGCUAGUAAUCGCGAAUCAGAAUGUCGCGGUGAAUACGUUCCCGGGUCUUGUACACACCGCCCGUCACACCAUGGGAGUCGGAUAUGCCCGAAGCCGGUGACCUAACCGCAAGGAAGGAGCCGUCGAAGGUGGAGCCGAUGACUGGGGUGAAGUCGUAACAAGGUAGC
rnacentral:rRNA from 1 species